GUGCUAAGUGGGAAAGGAUGUGGAGUCGCAUAGACAGCCAGGAGGUUGGCUCAGAAGCAGCCACCCUUGAAAGAGUGCGUAACAGCUCACUGGUCUAGUGGUUCCGCGCCGACAAUGUAGCGGGGCUCAAGCACACCACCGAAGACGCGGCAGUAUUUUGUACUGGGUAGGAGAGCGUCCCAUGAGGGGCGAAGCGGCCGUGUGAACGCGCCGUGGACUUCAUGGGAGUGAGAAUGCAGACAUGAGUAGCGAGAGACGGGUGAAGAUCCCGUCCGCUGGAUGACCAAGGGUUCCAGGGCCACGUUCAUCGUCCCUGGGUGAGUCGGGUCCUAAGGCGAGGCCGACAGGCGUAGUCGAAUGGAUGAACGGGUCGAUAUUCCCGUACCGGCUUUCAGCCGCCAAAACCGAGGCUUGGAGUACUAACCUCCGGGUCCGGGCUUACUGCUCCUUCGGGGGCGGGAUGCCCUGGCCUGUUGGGACCGAUCCUUGUAGUAGGUCAGCGCAGGAGUGACGCAGAAGGGUAGCCGGCCGCGGAGGUGGUCUUCCGUGGUCAAGCACGCAGGGCGUGGGACAGGCAAAUCCGUCCCGCAUGGGUCCGAGGUGCGAUGAUGGGGGCCUUAUGGCCCGAUAUCCGGUGAUCCCGGCUGCCGAGAAAAGCUUCGGCGUCAGGCUCGAAGCCGCCCGUACCCCAAACCGACACUGGUGGUCAGGUAGAGAAUACCAAAGCGAUCGAGCGAAUCCUGGUCAAGGAACUCGGCAAAUCACUCCCGUUCCUUCGGUUUAAGGGAGACCCCCGAUGGUGAACACGCUUGCUGUGGGAGCUUUUGGGGGUGGCACAGACCAGGGGGUAGCGACUGUUUACCAAAAACACAGGUGCAUGCGAAGGCGCAAGCCGCUGUAUAUGCACUGACGCCUGCCCGGUGCCGGAAGGUUAAGAGGAUCCGUCAGCCUUCGGGUGAAGCGGUGAAUUCAAGCCCCGGUAAACGGCGGUGGUAACUAUAACCAUCCUAAGGUAGCGAAAUUCCUUGUCGGGUAAGUUCCGACCUGCACGAAUGGCGUAAUGAUGGCCAGGCUGUCUCCACCCGAGACUCAGUGAAAUUGAACUCGCUGUGAAGAUGCAGUGUACCCGCGGCAAGACGGAAAGACCCCGUGAACCUUUACUAUAGCUUGACACUGAACAUUGAGCCUUGAUGUGUAGGAUAGGUGGGAGGCUUUGAAGUGUGGACGCCAGUCUGCAUGGAGCCGACCUUGAAAUACCACCCUUUAAUGUUUGAUGUUCUAACGUUGGCCCGUAAUCCGGGUUGCGGACAGUGUCUGGUGGGUAGUUUGACUGGGGCGG
rnacentral:rRNA from 1 species